ACCUGAUCUCAUCAAUCUAGCGGAAGAGACAGGAUAACCUAUCCAAGAGUAUAGCGCCACUAUGACUCCGCCGGAAAAAUUACUUUAAAAAUCGCCAAAAAUUACUUGGAGCAAAGGGCAGUAGGCGGAGCUUCGCCAAGGCUGGCGCAGUCGGUUUUGACCUGUAGCAGAGAACCAAUUCUGGAGAACAGCCUCACUUCUUUGAUUGAAUACUCACAUAAUGCUUUGGAACAGGACAUGAGAUUAAGGUUUAAUAAUGAUAGAAUGAAGACCAUAAUAAAAGAGACCUCUACUUACCUCAGCAAUUCUUACCUUUCUUACCUAUUUGAUGAAGAUGUCUUUUGAAAGGUGUACUGCAAGGAACAAAAUGUUUGUAAAUUCUGCUUUUACCAAGGUUUCUUUUUUAGUUGAUGCCAAAGAGUUCCAAUAUUGAACAUCUUAAGUCUGUUACUUGGAGUAUGGAUUGAGUUUGGAGCUUACUCAGAGGACUACAGGAGAGUAUCCAGGAGGUGGAUAAUUACUGUACCUUCCUCAUGGAAAAAGUUUUAUUUAAAGUGUUAUUUCUCGUUGAAUACUAUCAAAAAGGAAAAAAAAAUGACCUAAACUUUUGAGACAGAUUUGGCUCUAGUAAGUAUUUAGAUAUAUCGCUUGCAUAUCUGGGAGAAGAAAUAAGAGACUAUCAUCAAUACAUUCCCAUCUACUAAAAAAUUUUAUUUUACACAUGUCAAGGGAUUACUUAUAACUUCCAUUGUCUUUUUUUUAAGCCUAUAUGCAAUGAAAAAUAUAUUGGCAAAAUAAAUAUUUAAACCUUUUAUGUUAAAAUUACUGUGAAAGAUGACAAGUUAGCUGCUGUUUUUGUCUACAUUAUACUGAAAUUAAAUGUUUAUAAUUUAUAUUUUGGGUUUAUUUAUUUAUAAAUCAUGGAAUUUAUGCAAAAAACAUGAGUAGUACAGAUUCUCCUCUAAUUCUGUAGGACUUUGAAUAAUGUGAUAUUUUUCUUAUAGUUGGACCCUUGUGUUUUGAAGAAAUGCCAACUGCUUGAAGAAUUUCCUUGUUAUUUGUAUUAUUUGCUAUAGGGUUAGAUGUUGAGAAAUUCUUCUGACAAAAAAUUUUAAGCCAGUUUUACACUAAAUAUUCCUUAGUCUGAUUAAUUUGUUAUUGGAUGUAUUCUGUAUCUUUCUUUUGUAAUUUGUAACUUUUAUCCACUUAGCACGAAUGAUUCUAUUGAAGAAAAUCUUUAGGAAGUGGUAGAAACUUUAAAUCGCCCCAUAGUUUGCCUGUUUCCACAUUUUAUUAUCUUAUAAUCUUUGGGAGUGCUUACACUUAUGGAGCUAACAUUUUCAGAGAUACAGGUUCUCAUAGUACUACUAAAACUUUUUUCCUCUUUGGACUGAAUACCUAUGAUUAUAACUAUACAGUAGUUUAAGUUUCCUUGUGAUUAGUCAAAAAUACCAUUUUAGUAUGAAGCAAUGAAGUCUAUUAUUUGUUGUCCCAUAAUUGAGAAACUUAGAUACACCUUUUAUUAAGAGUUUGUAAAUUCUAGCUUAGUCUACACAGAUUUUUAUAUCAAUUUGUUUAUAUUUUUAUUAAUGUCAUUUCUGGAAUUGUGAAAAUGUUAAUGUUCGACAAGCAACAUUAAAAAUAGAUUUGAAACAUU